rnacentral:rRNA from 1 species
GUCCACGCCGUAAACGUUGGGCACUAGGUGUGGGUCUCAACCAACGAGAUCCGCGCCGUCGCUAACGCAUUAAGUGCCCCGCCUGGGGAGUACGGUCGCAAGACUAAAACUCAAAGGAAUUGACGGGGGCCCGCACAAGCAGCGGAGCGUGUUGCUUAAUUCGAUGCUACGCGAAGAACCUUACCUGGGUUUGACAUGUACGGAAAAGCUCUGGAGACAGGGUGUCCUAACGGGCCGUACACAGGUGGUGCAUGGCUGUCGU